rnacentral:rRNA from 1 species
GGCAGGCCUAACACAUGCAAGUCGAGCGGAUGAGAGGAGCUUGCUCCUUGAUUUAGCGGCGGACGGGUGAGUAAUGCCUAGGAAUCUGCCUGGUGGUGGGGGAUAACGUUCCGAAAGGAACGCUAAUACCGCAUACGUCCUACGGGAGAAAGCGGGGGAUCUUCGGACCUCGCGCCAUUAGAUGAGCCUAGGUCGGAUUAGCUAGUUGGUGAGGUAAAGGCUCACCAAGGCGACGAUCCGUAACUGGUCUGAGAGGAUGAUCAGUCACACUGGAACUGAGACACGGUCCAGACUCCUACGGGAGGCAGCAGUGGGGAAUAUUGGACAAUGGGCGAAAGCCUGAUCCAGCCAUGCCGCGUGUGUGAAGAAGGUCUUCGGAUUGUAAAGCACUUUAAGUUGGGAGGAAGGGUAUUCACCUAAUACGUGAGUAUUUUGACGUUACCGACAGAAUAAGCACCGGCUAACUUCGUGCCAGCAGCCGCGGUAAUACGAAGGGUGCAAGCGUUAAUCGGAAUUACUGGGCGUAAAGCGCGCGUAGGUGGUUCGUUAAAUUGGAUGUGAAAGCCCCGGGCUCAACCUGGGAACUGCAUCCAAAACUGGCGAGCUAGAGUACGGUAGAGGGUGGUGGAAUUUCCUGUGUAGCGGUGAAAUGCGUAGAUAUAGGAAGGAACACCAGUGGCGAAGGCGACCACCUGGACUGAUACUGACACUGAGGUGCGAAAGCGUGGGGAGCAAACAGGAUUAGAUACCCUGGUAGUCCACGCCGUAAACGAUGUCAACUAGCCGUUGGAAUCCUUGAGAUUUUAGUGGCGCAGCUCACGCAUUAAGUU